UGGCAGGUGGACUCAGUGGUAUAGUAUGGACUUAGCAUGCCAUGGGUCCUAGGUUCAAUACCCAGCAUGCAAG
rnacentral:tRNA from 1 species